AUUAAAGUAUUUUGUUAUUAAUAUCGAAAUAAGUUUAAUUAUAGACGAUAAUUAUUAUUUUGUUGGGAUUAUUAUUAUUAUUAUCAUAAGAGUACAUUAUCUUAUGAGCAAGGUUUAAAGCAUUGUUUUAUAUGAAGAGUUAUUUGCAUUACGUUGAUAAUAAUUUAUUAUUAUCAUUUAUAUAGUUUCUGGUAUUAUUAAUAUACACUAUCAAUAGUGUAUAUUUAUGAUUUUGAUAGAAUUUAAUAAAUGAUGUGCAUUGAAUAGGAUUUGUAUGGAUUUGAUUGAUUGACUCUUGGUGAGGAAUUUUAAAAUAAGCUAAGGACCUAAGGUGUGGCUUUAGCUGUUGAGCAACUUGUGGAGCACGGACUCAGUAGCAAUGCAAUAAUGGUUUAGAGUUUUCAUAUGGCUGCCUUAAAUUUAAAGUAUUCAUACGUGUAAUAAUUUCUUCUAAUAAGUUUAUAUAAAAGUUUAAAUUUUCUGCAUUUCUUCGUAUCAUUUUAUUUAAUCCUUUUGGUCAAGUGCCUUACAUACUCGUAAACCCUAGAAUUACGAGUAUGUGGCAGACGUACCCUACCUUAGGGACGUUACAAAUGGUAUCAGAGCUUUGAGUUUGUAGAUGUCGUAUACUCGUUAUGUUAUUAGAUUUUGGGAUCUGAAAUGCUACUGAGUUCCGCCACAAGACAAGCCACACGUUAAUGGUUAGUAUAAUUUAUCCAUAUUUUAGUUAAUGUAUGUUAAUGAUGUUGUAUAAUUGUAUUAGAAACUCAUUGUGUGUUUGAGUUUCCAUGAUAUAAGUAUGAGUUUGGAUUAAAUGAAUAUUCUCAUGCACGGUAGAGAAAUUGAAGUUUGCUAUUUAUCUGAAUGCAUGCCUUUAUUAUUGAUGUGAUAAAUAAUUGAUGAUUUAUCGAUGUCGAUGUUUGGAUUGUUAAUUGAUAUUCUCAAGCUUUGAAAGUGACCUAUCAGUUUAGUUAGUGUGUUAAGGGUUAAUAUGUCAGGUUAGUGUUUUGGAGAGCAAAGUUUUAGGUUGUUGCUGAGAGCACACAUAAUAAGAGACUUUAGUGAAACAGUAGUAAUAUAUAGAAAAAAAAAAAAAAAAAGAAAAGAAAAAUACAUAAUACAUUAAGGAUUGGGGUUUUGGACACGUUCUACCUCGUCAAUCAACUUUUGUUGUUCAACUCUAAGGGUCUCCCCAGUAGUUUGCAGUGUCUGAAAUUUUUCCUUCAUAUCGACUGAGUAGUUAGCAAGAAGUGUAGUUAAAGUCCCAUUCUCCUUAACCAACUUCUCCUUCUCUCGAGUCAAUGCCUUGUUGGCAUUUCUAAUGGUUAUCAUCUCUUGUUUUUGUGUUUCUAUAUACCUUUUCAAGUGGUCAACCUCUUGUUCUCUUGCAAGAACCCGUUGGCCUAGGUUUGAGACCGAUGCUGCCGCCUGAGUGGUAAGAACUAAGGAAUCUUUUACAGCUUGUAGGUCUGACCUAUGGGAUAAAAUUAUUUGGUCUUUAGGGGUGAGUAUGCUUUGACCUAUACUAAUGGCCACCUUUUUAUCGAGCAUAGCUGAAUCCUCCACCGUGACAAGGCCAGUAUCAGAAUAAAAUUUGGGAAGCCAAACUCUGGGAAAUUGAGUAUUUCGUUCUGGGAUGUGUACCGUAGGAUACACCAUUAGUUGUGGUAGGGGUGCAUAAAUUUGUGGUGAAGAUUCGAUAGUGGGAAGAUUUGGCUCAGGUAAAGCUAAAGUUAGGUCUAAGUUCAGCUGAGAUGAUGAGGAUGCCAUGGGUUGCUUAGCUUGAGUAAUGGAUGGAAGUAAUAAUGACUUGGUUUUCAAAAGCUUGAGAUUGAUUGUGUUUUAGUGUGUAUGUGAUGAAUUUUAUUUAUAGAAAAAUGUGUUGAACUGUUGGGUCAUUGGAUCCUUGAAUUUGUUUGUUUUCAAGAUAGAUAUCACAGAUUUUAUCUUGUUCAAUGUGUUACGCUAUCCUCUCUGAUGAUGAAAGUCAAACUUAUUAAAUUUUGUCGACAUGGAAAUCACUUCUAUUGAUUUUGCGAUCUGAUUUGAACAUGGAAACAAUUUAUAAAUUGUUGAAUGAAUCGAGGUGAUAAAUGUUAUUUACUGAAUUACUCUGUAGUGUGAAUUACUUUCGGCGAUUAAAUUAUAGUAUAUUAGCUGUUUUAUUCCGAAAGUAAGAUAAUGUAUUACUUGUGUGAAGUGAUGACUGAGUAUUAUUGGUAUAGGUGUUGAAAUGAGACAUGUCUAACUUAUUAGACAUGUGAGAAUUAUUCGUUUUAGUAGAUGAAGUGGUGGAUUGGUCAGUCAAGACUUAUCCCAUGUUUUAUUCAAUGAAGGGAUACUAAGCUAAGUGUGUGAAUUUCCGAGUGGCCACGGUUAUUUGCAUUCUAGCAUAGUAUCAAUAUGCCCUUUAUUAUUUUAUACAUUUGGAAACAAUUUUGAUUUUUAAAUGUUUUCUUAGAGAAAGAAUGAGAGUCAGGCUUUUCUGAACUGGUACCUAAUGAAUGGCCUAUCUCACUAUUUCUCAUUCAGGGCAAGAAGUCGGUUUUGACAACGAAAGGGUUUCAUAAAGACUUGGUUUUAAAGAAUAAUCUUCAUCGGCUAUAUAAUUGUUUUCUAGUUAUCUAAUUUUAUGCAAAAAAAAAAAAAAAAAAAAAAAAAAAAAAAAAAAUUGACUGUAAGACAUGAAGAUCAAGGAUGUUUUCAUGAUGAUGGUCAUUUUCUCUUCCUACGUUAUGUGGUUUGUGUUCAAAAGUAUGGAUGAUGAGGAUUCGUUUGUAUUUUCGUAUACAUUCAUUGUAAUUUAUACUAUUGUUAUAGCUUAUUUCCUUUCUUUCUAUAUUGUAGUCCUCAUGUGAGGUGUUUACACAUCCUCGCCUUUUUAUAUAUGAUAAGGAUUACAAGUCAGGAAUAAGUUUUGUUUUCGGGAUGAAAGUAAGUGUUGUGUAUGAAAUCUUAUGCUGUGAAAUGUUGUUCUGUUUAUUUGUAAUGGUAGUUCUUGUCUCUGAUUAUCAAAUUUAGUUUGAAAUUUCGAGGACGAAAUUAUUUUAACGGGGGAAGGAUUGUAAUAUCCAACAUUUUCAUUAUACAUUUUUUUUAUUAUAAAUCAGAGUUUUAAUACAUAAAAUAUACAAGUUUACAAAUUUAAGAAAUAGUAAUGGAAAAAUAGUAUUUAAAAUAUCAUUUUAUGUUUUUAAUGAGAUUAAAGAGAGAGAAACUUGAAUAGUCAAGUAUUGGACCCGAAUGUCAUAUAAUUUUAAUUGGGGAUUUUUAUAAAAUUAAGAAAGUUUUGCUAAAGGGCUUAUUUGAAAAGAAUUUUAGUAUUUUGGGUCCAAGUGUAAUUUUUAAAAAUAAUAAAAAAUAAAAAAUAAAAAAAAAAAGAAAAGAAAAGGCUUCAGCCUUUCUUUUUACCCGAACCCUCUCUCUCUCUCCUCAGAAAACCUCUCUCUCUCUCUCUCUCUCUCUCUCUCUCUCCUCUGCGUAUUACUGUUGCCGACGACGCAGGAGUACUUUCCGGCCACCAUUUUUAGCCACGCGCCGGACCGUUGGAUUCAGAGGCCUCCGAACUAUCGACCCACGCGGGAAUCUAGAGCUCACUCGCCGAUUAAACGCCUCAACCACUCGAUUUAAGUUCGGCCACCCCGCGACUUCAAAGUUGCGAUUCGGCCACCUCGGGCAUCCGUUUGUCGAUCCGUCACCACCAUCGUGCUCCUCGUGUUGUGGGCUUCAAAACCCAAUAACUUGUUCCUACAUCUACCAUAGUUGGGUGGUGGGCCCACCACGAGCCACCGCGAUCCACCGUAGACCGACGGUCGAAACUUAGUGUUCGAGGUUCCGAAGUACGUUUUGAGUCUCAGAAAAUCAUCGUUUGACUUGUUGUGGAACCCGAUCAUUUUGGAUUUGUAUGGAUUUGAUUGAUUGACUCUUGGUGAGGAAUUUUAAAAUAAGCUAAGGACCUAAGGUAAGUAAAUCUCACCUUUUGUGCUUAAGUGUAAGAUGCAUGACUACAUUGAUUGUGUACAUCUGAUGAGUUAAGUAUGGUAUGAUGAUGAUGCAUAUGAUAAGUAUGUGAAGAAUGGUUAUAUGAACACCAUAAGGGUGUUGUGUGAUAUGUAAUUGAUGAAUUCUGUGAUAUGUGAAAGAUGUCUUACUUGGUUAAGAAUGAUAUGAAUUAUGUGCAAGUAUGUGUUCUUAUGUUGAUGGAUAUGUGGAUUACUCUAUGUUCAUGAUUUGUUAUAUGUUAUGAUAUAUGAAGCGUUUAAGUUUUUAGGCUGGAAACCUUAGACCUGAGCCAUAGCUCUACGUUAAGGUAUAACAACGCCACCAACCCAAAGCUUCAUGUAUUAUGACUAAAGAUGUUUUGAGUUAUAUGAGAUGUGAUACAAUGCCUUGAUUGAAUACCAUCAACAUCAGUCAUGAACACGAACAUUGGCAUUUCAGCAUCAGCAUGUAUGCAUGGCAUGUACAUUUAUGUGAUAUAAGACCAUGCAUAUGGAUAUGAGAAAAGUUAUGAAAUGUCUUGAAAAGUCUUAUGUAAAGUUAAACAUUUUAAUGACACAAGGCUUAAGCAAAGUGAUAAUAAGAUGUUUAAAAAGGGUGCCACUGUUUUGAUGAAGCAAUCAAGUAAGUUCAGUAAAGAAGACGGAAGUCUAUAAGACUUAUAGUGGCUGCCCACUAGUGUGGGCUAGGUCAGAGUUGACCAUUCAGAUAUGUUUGCCAUGUUUCCGUCUUUCUCCUCCAUAUGUGUAAUAAGUAUGGCAGCUAUGGCAACGAUGAAAUGAGUGUUAUGAUGAGCCUAGCUGAGAUGAUGGCUAGCCGGAGGAGAACCCAUGGGAUUCUAUAUGAUAUGUGUAACAAGCCCUGCAGGCAUUGGCUGAAUCAAACAGUGUGCACAAGUGAUAUUGGGCCCAUAAAAAUGUGAAACUAAAAGAAAGAGCAUAAAAGUAAAGUUUGAAAGUGCAUGAGCAAUAAAUGAAAUGCAUAAGUAUAUAAGUCAGCAUAUUAGUAUAUGUGCACUACAAACUCACGACAUUCAUGUGUAUGUGUAUGCAUGAGAUUUGCUUACUGAGCGUUAGCUCAUUAUGUUAUUUUCCAACAUUUUUCCAAGUGUGGCUUUAGCUGUUGAGCAACUUGUGGAGCACGGACUCAGUAGCAAUGCAAUAAUGGUUUAGAGUUUUCAUAUGGCUGCCUUAAAUUUAAAGUAUUCAUACGUGUAAUAAUUUCUUCUAAUAAGUUUAUAUAAAAGUUUAAAUUUUCUGCAUUUCUUCGUAUCAUUUUAUUUAAUCCUUUUGGUCAAGUGCCUUACAUACUCGUAAACCCUAGAAUUACGAGUAUGUGGCAGACGUACCCUACCUUAGGGACGUUACAAUUUAUGUAACCUAUGAUAGAUCUAUAUUCAAGAUCUUUGAAUCUUCAAAGGAAGGGCAUGAAAUUCAAAUGGGCAAUGAGAAAAGGUCCAAGGUUGAAGGAAAUGAAACUAUUGACUUGUUCUUCACAUCAGGCAAGAAGGUUCCACUCACUAAUGUUUUGUAUGUACUAGAAAUGAGUAGAAACCUUGAGAGUGGCAAUUUGCUUGGCAAACCGAGAAUCAAGGUUGUGAUAGAUUCUGGCAAGCUCAUUUUAUCAAAAGACAAUGUUUUUAUUGGAAAGGGAUAUGCUUGUGAUGACAUGUUUAAACUUUG